AUACGGAGGGUGCGAGCGUUAAUCGGAAUUACUGGGCGUAAAGCGUACGUAGGCGGUUGGUUAAGUUAGAUGUGAAAGCCCCGGGCUUAACCUGGGAACUGCAUUUAAAACUGGCGAACUAGAGUUGAGUAGAGGGGAGUGGAAUUUCAGGUAUAGCGGUGAAAUGCGUAGAGAUCUGAAGGAACACCAGUGGCGAAGGCGACUCCCUGGACUCGAACUGACGCUGAGGUACGAAAGCGUGGGUAGCAAACGGGAUUAGAAACCCUAGUAGUCC
rnacentral:rRNA from 1 species